AGAGAGAACCAUCUUACAAGCCAAAUAACCCCAAAUCCAAAAAAAGCAAAACCACUUUUCCUAUUAUACCAUUUGAUAGACAUUAGACAGCACUCAGUCACUCCUCUACUGUCUCAGUGUACUAGCUCUGUCUCAGUACCUCUGCUCCUUACGCUGCAAGCCAAACACCCCCUUAUCUAUCAGGCCAAAUAAAACAAUCCACAACAAACCAAAUCACAAAUUCUCUCUAUUUAUCUCUUCUUUGCUUCAUCCUACACAUACUCUUUUCUUGGUUUUGAAUAUUUUUAUGUUGAGGAAGAGGAAGUUGAGGAGCAUUUUCUUGAAAUUCAAAGCUCAAUUCUUGAAUCAGAAGAAGAAGAAAAAGAGUAACAAGUUGAGUUUUCACUAUGAUCCUUUAAGUUAUGCACUCAACUUUGACAAUGGCAACUUUGGUUUUUGCUUGUAAAAUUUAUCACUUACAAGUUACACCCCCCCCCCCCCCCCCCUUCCUCUCUUUUUCUUCCUCAACCCCAAAAAUUCCUCUAUAAGAAUUUUGAUAUUUUUAGAUGACUAGUUGCUGACCAGUUUAAUUUUCUAGCUUCAAAAAUGUUGUAAGAAGGUCUAAUGACAAGUUAGUAAA